UAGCCUAGUGGUUAAGGCUACGGAUCGCCAAUCCGGAGACGACGGGUUCGAUUCCCGU
rfam:Aedes albopictus isolate Foshan contig165567, whole genome shotgun sequence.